GCCAGCAUGGUAUAGUGGUUUGAAGGCCAGACUAAGACUCUGGGAGACCAGGGUUUGAAUCCCCUCUCAGUCA